UUUUUUCUUCUGAUGUCUUCUAACCAUUUAUCUCAUCUUGAAAUGAUUUUGCAUUUGGUGGAGGUUUUCCCUCUGGUGAACCUUGGUAUUGGCAAAUUGAGAAUAUUGGAUUUCAGUUCUAAACUGGCAUCAUGACUGAAUGCUCUACUGCAGUGUCUUCAAUAAACCAUUGCUGUCAAGAAUGAUGGACAAAUACAGGGGAUUGCUCUAGUGAGACAAAAACGUGUGCAGAGCAAUUUGUUCACCACAGGCACAUUUCUUGUGGGAGAUCAAAGGGAUCGCUGAUUCCAGCAGUUGUUUAAUUUGUGCCCCUGUAACUCGGUAUGGAUUGUUUUAAGUAACUAAACACAUUAGUAACUCCCAUGGAAAUAAAAAAAAAAGACUAGCACAACUAAUUUACUUACAUAUCAAAAGAUGAAUUCAGCAAACGUAAAACUUCACAACAGUGUUUCUAUGUAAACAAAAAUGUCAAGAGUUAUAGGGUAAAAGUUCUUUAUACUCUCUGUAACAGACAAGUAAAAAGACAUUUCUGACUGUAUGGAAAAAUGUAUUUGAAUUCAAAAUUUUGAAAUGUUAA